rnacentral:rRNA from 1 species
AUUGAACGCUGGCGGCAGGCUUAACACAUGCAAGUCGAGCGGGCGGCGGACGGAUGGGUAAUGUCUGGGAAACUGCCUGAUGGAGGGGGAUAACUACUGGAAACGGUAGCUAAUACCGCAUACCAUCAGAUGUGCCAAGAUGGGAUGAGCUAGUAGGUGGGGGAAUGGCUCACGUAGGAGACGAUCCCUAGCUGGUCUGAGAGGAUGACCAGCCACACUGGAACUGAGACACGGUCCAGACUCCUACGUGAGGCAGCAGUGGGGAAUAUUGCACAAUGGGUGCAAGCCUGAUGCAGCCAUGCCGCGUGUGUGAAGAAGGCCUUCGGGUUGUAAAGCACUUUCAGCGAGGAGGCGUUACUCGCAGAAGAAGCACCGGCUAACUCCGUGCCAGCAGCCGCGGUAAUUC